AGAAAAAUAAGCUAAAUAAGCUUUUAGGUUCAUACCCUAACUAUAAAAGUUAUAAUCUUUUUUUUUCUA
rnacentral:tRNA from 1 species